AAUCGAGGAUUUUGAAUUCUUUCAAUUCUUACAACUUCGGCGUUUGGCAGUGUCGUUAUCAGUGACGCUUUAAACAUGUCAUGGAUUUGGUCGUAUUCAAUAUCAUGUUUAUCAAUGGUGAACCGGUGGACGUCGCGUUCUUUGCCAGUGGAACAAUCUAUUGGUUGAAAUUCCCAGUUUGGAGGCAGUGGAAAUGCUAGAAAGGUAC